rnacentral:rRNA from 1 species
UACGAAGGGGGCUAGCGUUGUUCGGAAUUACUGGGCGUAAAGGGCGCGUAGGCGGCCCGGUAAGUCAAAGGUGAAAUCCCUCGGCUCAACUGAGGAACUGCCUUUGAAACUGUCGGGCUUGAGGCCGGGAGGGGGUAGCGGAAUUCCCAGUGUAGCGGUGAAAUGCGUAGAUAUUGGGAGGAACACCGGUGGCGAAGGCGGCUACCUGGACCGGUACCGACGUUCAGGCACGAAAGCGUGGGGGAGCAAACAAG